rnacentral:rRNA from 1 species
UACAGGGGGGGCAAGCGUUGUUCGGAAUUACUGGGCGUAAAGGGUCUGUAGGUGGCCAACUAAGUCAUACGUGAAAUCCCUCAGCUUAACUGGGGAACUGCGUGUGAUACUGGAUGGCUUGGAUUUGGGAGAGGGAUGCGGAAUUCCAGGUGUAGCGGUGAAAUGCGUAGAUAUCUGGAGGAACACCGGUGGCGAAGGCGGCAUCCUGGACCAAUAUUGACGCUGAGGAGCGAAAGCCAGGGGAGCAAACGGG